UACGAAGGGUGCAAGCGUUAAUCGGAAUUACUGGGCGUAAAGGGUGCGUAGGCGGUUCGUUAAGUCUGUCGUGAAAUCCCCGGGCUCAACCUGGGAAUUGCGUUGGAGACUGCAAGGCUGGAGUCUGGCAGAGGGGAGUAGAAUUCCACGUGUAGCAGUGAAAUGCGUAGAGAUGUGGAGGAACACCGAUGGCGAAGGCAGCCCCCUGGGUCAAGACUGACGCUCAUGCACGAAAGCGUGGGGAGCAAACAGG
rnacentral:rRNA from 1 species